UACGUAGGGUGCGAGCGUUAAUCGGAAUUACUGGGCGUAAAGCGUGCGCAGGCGGUUCUACAAGACAGAUGUGAAAUCCCCGGGCUCAACCUGGGAACUGCAUUUGUGACUGCAUCGCUGGAGUGCGGCAGAGGGGGAUGGAAUUCCGCGUGUAGCAGUGAAAUGCGUAGAUAUGCGGAGGAACACCGAUGGCGAAGGCAAUCCCCUGGGCCUGCACUGACGCUCAUGCACGAAAGCGUGGGGAGCAAACAGG
rnacentral:rRNA from 1 species